GCCAGUGUGGCUCAGUGGAUAGAGCAUCGGCCUGAAGACUGAAGGGUCCUGGGUUCGAGUCCCGGUCAAGGGCA
rfam:Myotis davidii contig191678, whole genome shotgun sequence.